ACCUGGCCCUCACUUUGUUUACAAAGCAGUGUAAUUGGUUUAAGCCCAGAGGCUAGGGAAAAGAGGAAAAUGGGGCGGGUGUGUGUGGGUGACCCCCUUUGGAAAAGAAAAAAAAGAAGAAGAAGAAGGAAAAAGAAAAAUAGGCGGUGCCUGGAGGACAGGCCAGGGCUCUAGACCAGAGAGAGCAUUGCUGCGGGAGAAGGACUGGGGUGGUGGCGUCAGAGUCCCAGCGCCCGGACCGUGCUCGCUGAGUGACCCCGAGCUCCUUCCCAGAGGCACUCACUACCCUCUGGAUCUGACGGCUGCUCGGUUCUUGGUUCCCUAGGCUCUUUUGCUCCCCCACCCUGGUUCUUGACCCAAAGUUCAACCCUGGGAGACCACCCCCACUUCCCGGGCUUCGGGUUUGUAAAGGGGAAAAGCCCCACUUUUGCCUCGUCACUAGAAACCCAGUCAUCUGAGUCAGCCGAGCAGGUGACGUUAGGCCGAUCUGGGCUCCCGGCUAGCAGAACGGAGGCGCUGCCACGAAACUCGUACCUGCGGCUAAGAGCAGAACAGAUUUGGACAUCAUUCUGUUGCAACACUUGAGAAGUAUGGAUACUGAGAUGUUAUAAUGAGUCUACCAAGACUUCCCGUAUGUGAACCAGGCAUGGUUCUACAUGCAGACAACAAAAGAACAAGCAGGUAGACUCUGUGUCUGGAGCCUCAUAGAGGAUCUUCAGAAGCGAUCGUCUGUGAUGACUCUGAAGUCGUCGAGUAUUUGCCAUGGGUGACUUGGUGAAAGCAGAAUGGUAAAAUACAUUUGGGAGUCUAAGUGCCAGGUACUAAAUAAAGCACUCCAAUUUA